rnacentral:lncRNA from 1 species
GUUCACCGUGCGGUGGAACGAGGCGGCCGAGAACGACGGGGGGAUGACGGAGGUGGACCUGUCGCAGGGGGAGGUGACGUGGCUGUCGCCGCCCGAGCCGGGGUGGGAAGCCGCGCCUUCGGCCAUCGCCGACGGCGACGGCGACAAGAGGGCGCGGUCGCACUCGCCGUCGGCGAUCGAGACGCUCGAGGAAGUCGAGAAGCGCAUCGGCGUCGGCACGAUCAAGUGGAUAUGCUUCCAGGUGCUCAAGGAGGCUGGACCGCACGGGCUGCUGCUCUCGGAGAUUGUGAGCAAGACCCAGGAGA